AUUGAACGCUGGCGGCAGGCCUAACACAUGCAAGUCGAGCGGAUGAAGGGAGCUUGCUCCUGGAUUCAGCGGCGGACGGGUGAGUAAUGCCUAGGAAUCUGCCUGGUAGUGGGGGAUAACGUCCGGAAACGGGCGCUAAUACCGCAUACGUCCUGAGGGAGAAAGUGGGGGAUCUUCGGACCUCACGCUAUCAGAUGAGCCUAGGUCGGAUUAGCUAGUUGGUGGGGUAAAGGCCUACCAAGGCGACGAUCCGUAACUGGUCUGAGAGGAUGAUCAGUCACACUGGAACUGAGACACGGUCCAGACUCCUACGGGAGGCAGCAGUGGGGAAUAUUGGACAAUGGGCGAAAGCCUGAUCCAGCCAUGCCGCGUGUGAAGAAGGUCCUCGGAUUGUAAAGCACUUUAAGUUGGGAGGAAGGGCAGUAAGUUAAUACCUUGCUGUUUUGACGUUACCAACAGAAUAAGCACCGGCUAACUUCGUG
rnacentral:rRNA from 1 species